CAUGGUUUUUACUACACAAUUGCAUUACUAGUGACAAAAUUUGCAUGUUUAAACCUAUGUGAUGUGCCUGUAGUUAGUUAAUUCGGAUUCGGCAAAAAUUCGAUACGGGUAUAAUUCGGAUAAAAUUCGUCUUCUAAUUUUUAAAUUCGUUGAAAAAUAUGGCUAAAAAAUAGAUUUGUCAAUUAUUCGGAUACAUGAUUUAUACGGAUAUUAUACGUUCACCAAUUAAAAAUUCGGGAUAAAAAAUUCGGCUAUUAAAUUAAUUUUUUUUUCUCUCAAGAUUUAUGCUAUUAGCAUAAAUAUUUAUAUUUCUUAAGAAUAUAAGAAUAAAGAGCUACAAAAUUAAGCUAAUUAAGUAAAAAAAUUAGCAAACUAUAUUAUGCCUCAA
rnacentral:lncRNA from 1 species